GAUGCCUGUUUAAGUGAGGAAAAGUUUUUAAUAUAAAUACUUUUCUUUUCUUAUUCUUUCCCCUAAAACAAUCGCCGAUCCCAUUCCUCUCCUCACCCGAGCUCCUUCCCUCUCUUCCUCUAUUCUCUCUCUCGCGGGCAGGCGGCGCCGAAGAGAUAGGGUUUCCAGCUCCGGUGAUCGGCGAUCUUCCUCUACUGGCAUCAGCGGCCGUUGAGCUUAGAUUCGGGCGGCGCUAUUCCUUUCCGGAUCACAGACACGAAGUUGCGUCUUCUCUAGCCGAUUGCUGAACCUUUUCUUCCUUGAGUGACGCCAUUGGGUCGAGCAUUUGCCAUCCGAUCGUCGACGGGAAGAGACCAUUAGGGCCUUGAGGGUUAGGUCAAGGAUUCCUUCAUUCUUGUUGUUGAUUGAGGGUUAGAGGAAUCCUUGGUACACAGAAUCGAAUCGGGCGACACCUUAUGGAGACAAUUGGUUGAGAGGUAUCGGGUUGGUGGACAGUAGCUACAUUAGGGCUGUGGGGUGCUGUUCUGUUCUUGCUGUGGUGUUUCCUUGCCGGCAGCCCUCAAACCAGCAUCAACAGUAGCUUGAUUGAGGACUCUGAUUAGAGACAGGCGUCUCGACCUUGGAUUGCUUGAUCGUACCUUCUAUUUGAGG